GCGAUUUUAACACAAGGGGAAACGACCCCUGGACUCUCACAGCGACGUCUAAAUUUACCUGAGGUGGACAGGGCGGCGCAGCGAUUUCAAGGUCUAUAGCGACUCCUAGGCCCUUGGUUGACAACGGUUUAAGUUGAAAGCUGUUUUUGCCAGCGGCUUGGUCGCCAUUCCUGCAAGUGAGGCUGAAGCAUCUCAGCGGUCUGGAAACUGGGAUCUCGGUGGGAGGGGCCGACUUCUGGAGGGAUUGAAUACAGUUCCCGCUAUUAAAGUUCCUGCAAUUAAAAUUAACUUAAACAAUGUAAUUAAACAAGCCCUGGAAUUGUCCACGAAGGGAGUACAAACUGAAAUGUGAAAUGCAAACUCUGCCUGGGUGGAAUGUGCAACUUCAUGCCGACUCCCAACAGAAUGUCGUUUUCAUUUCUAGUCCCCAUUCACUCCAGAGAAGAAGACUCAACCCUGUGCUCACGUCCAGAGACUUUCAUAGGAGGGUCAAGACCCGGGGCGUGAGGGCUAAGGGCCGUGAUAAGUUAGGUCAUUAACUUUUGCUUUAAAAAAAGCAAUAACUUUUAAAAAAUGGAUAUAAUUUCUGGUCUUUUCCUUAAAUUUUUUAUUCUGUUUCACACUCGAGACUCACAAACUUGAAAUAUCUUGGUGAUAAACUUUGUUGACAUCAUAAUAUGCUUACAUUAAUAAUUUCUAAAUAUAAUGUAAUUUCAAAUUCACCUUAUGGGCAUUAUGAAUGUAAUUAGAAAACAUACUUUUUAUUUUAAAAUUGUAAUCUGUUUUUAGUCUAUUGUUUUUUAGUUCUCAAUGCUCUGUCGGGUGUGAAUAAUAAAGCCUGUAAAAUCGUCUUCUGAA